CGUAGGGAGCAAGCGUUGUCCGGAAUCAUUGGGCGAAAGCGCGUGUAGGCGGUUACAUAAGUCUGUUGUGAAAGUGGAGGCUCACCUUCGAAAGCCGAUGGAUACUGUGUGACUUGAGUACGGAAGAGGAGAGUGGAAUUCCUGGUGUAGCGGUGAAAUGCGUAGAUAUCGAGAGGGAACACCUGCGGCGAAGGCGGGUUGCUGGGCUGACACUGACGCUGAAGCGCGAAAGCUAGGGGGAGCGAACGGG
rnacentral:rRNA from 1 species